CGGGUGAGUAACGCGUGGGUAACCUGCCUUGUACAGGGGGAUAACAGUUGGAAACGGCUGCUAAUACCGCAUAAGCGCACGGCAUCGCAUGAUGCAGUGUGAAAAACUCCGGUGGUAUAAGAUGGACCCGCGUUGGAUUAGCUAGUCGGUGAGGUAACGGCCCACCAAGGCGACGAUCCAUAGCCGACCUGAGAGGGUGACCGGCCACAUUGGGACUGAGACACGGCCCAA
rnacentral:rRNA from 1 species